rnacentral:rRNA from 1 species
UUAAACUUUUUUUUAUGGAGGGUUUGAUCCUGGCUCAGGACGAACGCUGGCGGCGUGCUUAACACAUGCAAGUCGAACGGAGAUAGAAGCUUGCUUCUAUCUUAGUGGCAAACGGGUGAGUAACGCGUGGGUAACCUACCCUAAAGUGGGGGAUAACAGAUCGAAAGGUCUGCUAAUACCGCAUACCCUUCAAGCACAAAAGUAUUUGAAGGAAAGGAGCAAUCCGCUUAAGGAGGGGCCUGCGUCCUAUCAGGUAGUUGGUGAGGUAACGGCUCACCAAGCCUAUGACGGGUAGCUGGUCUGAGAGGAUGAUCAGUCACACUGGAACUGAGACACGGUCCAGACUCCUACGGGAGGCAGCAGUGGGGAAUAUUCCGCAAUGGGCGAAAGCCUGACGGAGCGACGCCGCGUGGAUGAUGAAGACCCUAUGGGUCGUAAAAUCCUUUUGUGAGGGAAGAAGAUCUGACGGUACCUCACGAAUAAGCCACGGCUAACUACGUGCCAGCAGCCGCGGUAAAACGUAGGUGGCAAGCGUUGUCCGGAAUUACUGGGCGUAAAGAGUGCGUAGGC